GGCUUUAUAGUCAAUAAUGAUAUUAGACUGCAAUUCUAAAGGAGUAAAUUUUACUAAAGCUU
rnacentral:tRNA from 1 species